UAACUGACGUUGAAGGACGAAGGCUUUGUGUCUCGAACAGGAUUAGAUACCCCAGUAGUCUAAGCAGACAAUGAUGAAUGUCAUAGAUUAGAUUUAAUUAAAUUUAUUCUAUAAAUGAAAGUGUAAGCAUUCCACCUCAAGAGUAAUUUGGCAACAUUGGAACUGAAAUCAUUAGACCGUUUCUGAAACCAGUAGUGAAGUAUGUUGUUUAAUUAGAAGAUACGC
rnacentral:rRNA from 1 species